rnacentral:piRNA from 1 species
UGAAAGUUCUGAACUCUUUGGUGGG